AUUUUGCUCACCAAAUAUUAGCCGGUAAUCCUCUUGUAAACAAGACAAAAUCUACCGGUCAAAUCCCAGACAUACCAUUCCAACUAUAAGCCCCCAUUGCACUGGCUCUAGCCUCUAGUGAGCUGCAAGUUUUGGCCAGCAACACCUGAAAGACGCGUGUACUUCCCUCUCAAAAACUGCAAAAACUGGGUGCUUAAAGAAAAAUGAUUUCUCGUUGAGCAGCAAUCCAUUCGGCGAAAAGGUCUCGAACGACGGAGAUCGUGUCCAGUUUUCGAGGACAAAUAUGUUUCGGAAGCUCACACGACGAUCGCAUCAGUUUAAUGUUGGGAGGGAGACCGAUUGAAAGUAAUCAACAAAAUCUUGUUCCACAGAUGAUCAAGUCUACACAGUGAAGAAUUAUAUCAUGUUCUGCUAUGAUGCGAUUGAUCAAUCAAACAGGUGGCUAGCUGCUACUCCGUUGGAUCAUUAACCCUCUGGUGAUCAUUUUGGAUGAAAGCAGAAGACAUGAGCACAGCAGACUCCCAGCCAAAUGUUGAUGGCGCCGUAGUACUAGCACC